rnacentral:rRNA from 1 species
AGCGAACGCUGGCGGCAGGCCUAACACAUGCAAGUCGAACGAUCCUUCGGGAUAGUGGCGGACGGGUGAGUAACACGUGGGAACGUACCUUUAAGUUCGGGAUAACUCAGGGAAACUUGAGCUAAUACCGGAUGUGCCCUUCGGGGGAAAGAUUUAUCGCCUUUAGAGCGGCCCGCGUUAGAUUAGCUAGUUGGUGAGGUAAAGGCUCUCCAAGGCUCCGAUCUAUAGCUGGUCUGAGAGGAUGAUCAGCCACACUGGGACUGGGACACGGCCCAGACUCCUACGGGAGGCAGCAGUGGGGAAUCUUGCGCAAUGGGCGAAAGCCUGACGCAGCCAUGCCGCGUGAAUGAUGAAGGUCUUAGGAUUGUAAAAUUCUUUUAGCAGGGACGAUAAUGACGGUACCUGCAGAAAAAGCCCCGGCUAACUUCGUGCCAGCCGCCGCGGUAA